AAAAUAGCAUUUUCUGAGGGUGUAGUUCCUUUGAAAGGAACUACUAUUUGAAAGGUAUAAAUCAGAAUUCUUUUUGUCAGAAAUAUGACCCUACAGAAAAUGAAAUGUACUCAAAAUUAUUGAGGGACAAAAAUGUAUCUUUGUUGCUGAAAGCCCAGCAAAAGAAACCCAGCAGAUCAAACACUGCAUCUCUGCUUGGCUACUGGAAAACCAGAGCAAGUACUACAAUGGACUUUGAAAACUCUAAGAUGAUGGGAUAGGAUAGCUACAAUGGAGGAAGAAGAGGAAACUACAAGAAUAUAGAGCCACAUUAUCCACAAAGAAGCUAAAGAGGACAAAGAAAAAAUAGCUAAAAACAAGAAUUAAAUCAAGCAGUGUGACUGAAAA